rnacentral:lncRNA from 1 species
UAGUCUUUAUAAAGCUGAACUCUUGGUUAUUUUCAUUUUUUGAAGGUACUUUAAAAGGUGUGACUAGAAAACAACAUUACUAAGGAAAGGACUCAAAAAACUUGCACAGAAGAACAUAGAGAAGGGGAGAUCAAGCCAUACUUGACUUCAGAAUCUAGACUAGGUAAGUCCCUGCCUCUAUUUACUUCGUCUGGCUGACUCAGUCAUUGG